CCUACGGGGGGCAGCAGUGGGGAAUAUUGCACAAUGGGGGAAAGCCUGAUGCAGCGACGCCGCGUGAGGGAUGAAGUAUUUCGGUAUGUAAACCUCUAUCAGUAGGGAAGAAAAUUACGGUACCUGACUAGGAAGCCCCGUCUAACUACGUGCCAGCAGCCGCGGUAAUACGUCGGGAGCAAGCGUUAUCCGGAUUUACUGGGUGUAAAGGGAGCGUAGACGGUUUUGCAAGUAAGAUGUGAAAGCUCGGGGCUCAACCGCGGAACUGCAUUUGAAACCGUUGUGCUAGAGUGUCGGUGAGGCAGGCGGAAUUCCUGGUGUAGCGGUGAAAUGCGUAGAUAUUAGGAGGAACACCAGUUGCGAAGGCGGCCUGCUGGACGAUAACUGACGUUGAGGCUCGAAAGCGUGGGGAGCAAACAGGAUUAGAUACCCUGGUAGUC
rnacentral:rRNA from 1 species